rnacentral:rRNA from 1 species
GUAGCUAUGUACGGAAUGGAUAAGCGCUGAAAGCAUCUAAGCGCGAAGCCAACUUCAAGAUAAGAUUUCCCACCGCAAGGGUAAGACUCCAGAAAGACUAUCUGGUUGAUAGGUCGAAGGUGUAAGUGCAGCAAUGUAUUUAGCUUAUCGAUACUAAUAGGUCGAGGACUUGACCAAUAUUUAUU